CACGUCUAACACACAUCGUUUACGGCAUGGACUACGAGGGUAUCUAAUCCUCUUCGCUACCCAUGCUUUCGUUCUCAGUGUCAGUAAUGAUCCAGAAAGCUGCCUUCGCAAUUGGUAUUCUUUCCAAUAUCUACGCAUUUCACCGCUCCACUGGAAAUUCCCUUUACCUCUACUAUACUCUAGUCUAAUAGUUUCGACUGCGAUUUUGAAGUUGAGCCUCAAGAUUUAACAGUUGACUUAUUAAACCACCUACAGACGCUUUACGCCCAGUGAUUCCGGAUAACACUUGCAUCCUCCGUCUUACCGCGGCUGCUGGCACGGAGUUAGCCGAUGCUUAUUCUUCAGGUACACGUCAUUUUAUUCCUCCCUGAAAAAAGAGGUUUACAACCCAUAGGCAGUCUUCCCUCACGCGGUAUUGCUCCGUCAGGCUUUCGCCCAUUGCGGAAAAUCCCCCACUGCUGCCUCCCGUAGGAGUCUGGACCGUGUCUCAGUUCCAGUGUGUCUGGUCGUCCUCUCAAACCAGAUACUGAUCGUCGCCUUGGUAAGCUCUUACCUUACCAACAAGCUAAUCAGCCGCGAGCUUCUCUCUAGGCGGAUAAAUAUAAAUCCAUUUCACUCGAAAGCAUAUGGGGUAUUAGCAUUUGUUUCCAAUUGUUAUCCCCCUCCUAAAGGCAAAUUCUCACGUGUUACUCACCCGUCCGCCACUAGAGUUAAAAACUCUCGUACGACUUGCAUGUGUUAGGCAUACCGCCAGCGUUCAUCCUGAGCCAGGAUCAAACUCU
rnacentral:rRNA from 1 species